rnacentral:rRNA from 1 species
GAUGAACGCUAGCGGCAGGCUUAACACAUGCAAGUCGAGGGGCAGCAUGACACGGAGAUUCGUCGAAGUGUUGAUGGCGACCGGCGCAAGGGUGCGUAACGCGUGAGCAACUUGCCCGUUUCUGGGGAAUAACCGGUGGAAACGCCGACUAAUACCCCAUAGUAUCACUUUUAGGCAUCUUUUAGUGAUUAAAGAAUUUCGGAAACGGAUAGGCUCGCGUGACAUUAGCUAGAUGGCGGGGUAACGGCCCACCAUGGCUACGAUGUCUAGGGGUUCUGAGAGGGUGAACGGUCACAUUGGAACUGAGACACGGUCCAA